CAAGAAUUAAAAAUGCUUGUCUACAAACAUCUUCCCUUGCGGUUCGUGUAAAUUCAUUAGUGUGCUUAGGAAAGAUUUUGGAAUACUUGGAUAAGUGGUUUGUACUUGAUGAUAUCCUACCCUUCUUACAACAAAUUCCAUCCAAGGAACCUGCGGUCCUCAUGGGAAUUUUAGGAAACUGAGGCUCAGAGAGGUAAAAUAAGUGAUUCAAGAUCAUAUAAGUGGUAUUUACAAAUGUACUUUUACUCAUAAGAAGUUGGGAAUCACCAAAGAGCAGCUGGCCGGAAAAGUGUUGCCUCAUCUUAUUCCCCUGAGUAUUGAAAACAAUCUUAAUCUUAAUCAGUUCAAUUCUUUCAUUUCCGUCAUAAAAGAAAUGCUUAAUAGAUUGGAGUCUGAACAUAAGACUAAACUGGAGCAACUUCAUAUAAU
rnacentral:lncRNA from 1 species